GUUUGUUAGUACUGAGCUUCUGAUAAAGGUGGCGGAGAGCAAAAGAUCUGAGAUGAGAAGAGCAGUGCAAACAGUAGUGCACAAGAUCAAGUGAGGACUAAUGAUGUAGAGGAGGAACAAGGAGAAAGACUGGAGAGUGAAGAAUUUCUAUUUCAGAGGCUCAAGAACACACAGCAGACUGGAAAAUAUCAAAGUUGAACCAAGUGAAUAAAAAGAUAGGAAGAAAAUCAAUCUAUCACACACUUGAAAAAAAUCCCUAGAAGAAUUGAAAAAGCAAAACACAAAAAUAUCAUGGUUCUAGUACUAUCAUUUUACCAAAGAUGCCAAACUCGGAUUUGAAGAGAAACAAACAGCAUGGGACAAAGUACUACUCAAUGGGAAG
rnacentral:lncRNA from 11 species